rnacentral:rRNA from 1 species
GAUGAACGCUGGCGGCGUGCCUAAUACAUGCAAGUCGAGCGAACGGACGAGAAGCUUGCUUCUCUGAUGCUAGCGGCGGACGGGUGAGUAACACGUGGAUAACCUACCUAUAAGACUGGGAUAACUUCGGGAAACCGUAGCUAAUACCGGAUAAUAUUUUGAACCGCAUGGUUCAAAAGUGAAAGACGGUCUUGCUGUCACUUAUAGAUGGAUCGGCGCUGCAUUAGCUAGUUGGUAAGGUAACGGCUUACCAAGGCAACGAUGCAUAGCCGACCUGAGAGGGGGAUCGGCCACACGGGAACUGAGACACGGUCCAGACUCCUACGGGAGGCAGCAGUAGGGAAUCUUCCGCAAUGGGCGAAAGCCUGACGGAGCAACGCCGCGUGAGUGAUGAAGGUCUUCGGAUCGUAAAACUCUGUUAUUAGGGAAGAACAUAUGUGUAAGUAACUGUGCACAUCUUGACGGUACCUAAUCAGAAAGCCACGGCUAACUACGUG